AGUAAUAUGUCUGAAAAAAAGUAAUAAAUUGUAAAUUUAUUUAUAGAAUUAAUAUUCUUAUUACUA
rnacentral:tRNA from 1 species